rnacentral:rRNA from 1 species
GACGAACGCUGGCGGCGUGCUUAACACAUGCAAGUCGAACGGAAAGGCCCUGCUUUUGUGGGGUGCUCGAGUGGCGAACGGGUGAGUAACACGUGAGUAACCUGCCCUUGACUUUGGGAUAACUUCAGGAAACUGGGGCUAAUACCGGAUAGGAGCUCCUGCUGCAUGGUGGGGGUUGGAAAGUUUCGGCGGUUGGGGAUGGACUGGCGGCUUAUCAGCUUGUUGGUGGGGUAGUGGCUUACCAAGGCUUUGACGGGUAGCCGGCCUGAGAGGGUGACCGGCCACAUUGGGACUGAGAUACGGCCCAGACUCCUACGGGAGGCAGCAGUGGGGAAUAUUGCACAAUGGGCGGAAGCCUGAUGAAGCAACGCCGCGUGCGGGAUGACGGCCUUCGUGUUGUAAACCGCUUUCGCCUGUGACGAUGCGUGAGUGACGGUAAUGGGUAAAGAAGCACCGGCUAACUACGUG